rnacentral:rRNA from 1 species
UACAGAGGGGGCAAGCGUUGUUCGGAAUUACUGGGCGUAAAGGGCGCGUAGGCGGCCUGUUAAGUCGAACGUGAAAUCCCCGGGCUCAACCCGGGAACUGCGUCCGAUACUGGCAGGCUUGAAUCCGGGAGAGGGAUGCGGAAUUCCAGGGUGUAGCGGUGAAAUGCGUAGAUAUCUGGAGGAACACCGGUGGCGAAGGCGGCGAUCC